ACCCUGUUGGCACAGUGGUUAAGAGCUUGGCUGAUAACCAAAAGGCCGGUAGUUCGAAUCCACCAGCAGGUC
rnacentral:tRNA from 1 species